rnacentral:lncRNA from 1 species
AAAAUGAAAGGAAAGAAGAAGAAAAAUGAAAAAAAGAAAGGAAGAGAGAAGAAAAAGAAAGAAAAAGGAAAGGAAAGAAAGUAAAGAAAAAUAAAGAAAAGAAGGAAGAAAGAAAAAAAGAGGAAAAAGAAAGAAAGAAAAGAAAGAAGAAAGGAAGAAAGACGGAGGAUAUCUACUAGGAUGCAUGAUCAAAAUUGCUGUUGGGACGGAAUAGGACAGCAGGGCAUCCCAUUCCAUGGAGAAAAUGGGAUAUUUUUGUUCCACGGAUUUAAAAUCUUGAAUAAGAUAAAGCUUAUUAACUGUGUUUACAAUACUCAUUUAUAAAUUUUUUAGUACAAUAUUUUGAGUUUGAAGAAAUUUCAGAAAGCUUGUGGCAAGAAAUUGUUGUAGACUAUAGGGCAGACCACUUUAAUCCAGAACAUGUCACGUGGUCAGGAUUUGACCAUGGACCUGGCAUGGGGUGAAUUCUUUUUAUUCAGCAGAAAUAUUGGACAUGAGAGUGAGAAAUAUCUAAUAAAAGCAACAAGCAAACAAAAAAAAAAAAAAAGAGAACUUUAUAGAAUCCUGACAGGCUUCUGAACAAUAUAUGAAAUUUCUUAGGUAUUUUAAGCUACUGCCAUAUAAAAUUUUGUAAUUUAUGGGAUAAAAAGCUUUUCUUAAGAAAUCUGGAAACAUGAUAUUUUUCAAAUUUGGGAAACUAUCUGACAGUCAUUCCUGAUUUAUAUUCUACCAAUUAUUUUUUACUAAGGUACAGUGGGGCACCA